UUACCACUCUUCUGCCUUGGAACCAAUACUCAAUUGAAGGUGAAGGCUGGCAAUUGCUGGCCGUGGUGGGAUCCUGAGGCCUUGGUCCUUCUUCUCUGUCCUACUGAGGGUGCACCACCUGCCCGUCUUGCCUGUCCUGCCGGGGAAGUGGAGCAUGAGCGUGUGUGUUAGGACCCAAAACAUGAUGAACUAUGCCUGGGCAGGGCGAAGCCAGAGGAAACUCUGGUGGAGGUCCAUAGCGGUCUUGACGUGCAAAUCGGUUUUCCGACCUGGGUGUAAGGGCGAAAGAUUAAUCGAACUAUCUAGGAGCUGGUUCCCUCCGAAGUUUCCCUCAGGAUAGCUGGAGCUCUAGCAGUGGUCGUCGGGUAGGGCAGGGAGCUCCCCCCUCUCUCUCGGGGGUGGUGUUCCCCUGGCACCUGCCGCCACGCAGUUUUAUCAGGUCAAGCAAAUGAUUGGAGGUCUUGGGGCCGAAAAGAUCUCAAACUAUUGUCAAAGUUUAAAAGGGUAAGAAACCCGGCUCACUUGCUUGGAGCGUGGAAUGCGAGUGCUUGUGGACCACUUUUGGUAAGGAGAACUGGCUCUGCGGGAUGAAAUGAACUGCGGGUUAAGGCCCAUGCUCAUCAGUAGAAGGUAGGGGAAAGGAAGGAAGGAAGGAAGGAAGGAAGGAAGGAAGGAAGGAAG
rnacentral:ncRNA from 1 species